UGGGGAAUUGUUCGCAAUGGGCGAAAGCCUGACGACGCAACGCCGCGUGGAGGAUGAAGAUCUUCGGGUCGUAAACUCCUUUCGAUCGGGACGAAUGAUCGGUGACCUAAUACGUCAUCGGAAUGACGGUACCGAGAGAAGAAGCCCCGGCUAACUCCGUGCCAGCAGCCGCGGUAAUACGGGGGGGGCAAGCGUUGUUCGGAAUUACUGGGCGUAAAGGGCGCGUAGGCGGCCUUCUAAGUCAGACGUGAAAUCCCUCGGCUCAACCGAGGAACUGCGUCUGAUACUGGAAGGCUUGAAUCCGGGAGAGGGAUGUGGAAUUCCAGGUGUAGCGGUGAAAUGCGUAGAUAUCUGGAGGAACACCGGUGGCGAAGGCGGCAUCCUGGACCGGUAUUGACGCUGAGGCGCGAAAGCUAGGGGAGCAAACGGGAUUAGAUACCCCCGUAGUCC
rnacentral:rRNA from 1 species